AAGGAACUAGGCAAAUUAAGUCCGUAACUUAGGGAAAAGGACUGCCACUGGUUGUGAGGGCGACUAGCUUGUCUGAGCGAUUGGUGGUCGCAGCGAAAUGGCUCUGCCGACUGUUUAACAAAAACACAGGUCUCUGCGAAAGCGAAAGCUGACGUAUAGGGGCUGACGCCUGCCCAGUGCCGGAAGGUUAAGGGGAGAUGUGAUGAGCAUUGAACCGAAGCCCCGGUGAACGGCGGCCGUAACUAUAACGGUCCUAAGGUAGCGAAAUUCCUUGUCGGGUAAGUUCCGACCCGCACGAAAGGCGUAACGAGCAGAGCACUGUCUCAACAAGGGACCCGGCGAAGUUGAAAUAGCGGUGAAGAUGCCGUUUACCCGCAGCAGGACAAAAAGACCCCGUGGAGCUUUACUGUAGCUUGACGUUGAGUUAGGGCUUUGUCUUUAGGAUAGGUGGGAGGCUGUGAAGCUGGUCCGCUAGGAUCGGUGGAGUCGACGUUGAAAUACCACCCUGAUGGAGUCUUGGCUCUAACCUGUGGCCCUAAUCGGGCAUGGGGACAGUGUCUGGUAGGCAGUUUGACUGGGGCGGUCGCCUCCUAAAGAGUAACGGAGGCGCCCAAAGGUUCCCUCAGGCUGAAUGGAAACCAGCCGCAGAGUGUAAAGGCAUAAGGGAGCUUGACUGCGAGACAAACAAGUCGAGCAGAGACGAAAGUCGGGCUUAGUGAUCCUACGGUUCCGAGUGGAAGGGCCGUGGCUUAACGGACAAAAGCUACCCCGGGGAUAACAGGCUGAUCUCCUCCAAGAGUUCACAUCGACGAGGAGGUUUGGCACCUCGAUGUCGGCUCGUCGCAUCCUGGGGCUGAAGUAGGUCCCAAGGGUCCGGCUGUUCGCCGGUUAAAGCGGUACGCGAGCUGGGUUCAGACCGUCGUGAGACAGGUCGGUCUCUAUCCGCUGUGGGCGAAGGGGAUUUGAGAGGGGCUGCCCCUAGUACGAGAGGACCGGGGUGGACAGACCGCUGGUGUACCAGUUGUCUCGCCAGAGGCAUGGCUGGGUAGCUAAGUCUGGCAGCGAUAACCGCUGAAAGCAUCUAAGUGGGAAACGCGCCUCAAGAUGAGAUCCCCCACUGUAAAAGGGUAAGUGCACCGGGAGACUACCGGUUAGAUAGGCGGCAGGUGUACGCACUGUGAGGUGUUGAGCCGAGCCGUACUAAUGCACGAGGACUUAAUCCA
rnacentral:rRNA from 1 species